CCUACGGGCGGCAGCAGUGAGGAAUAUUUGUCAAUGGACGAGAGCCUGAACCAGCCAAGUAGCGUGAAGGAUGACUGCCCUAUGGGUUGUAAACUUCUUUUAUAUGGGAAUAAAAUGUUCCACGUGUGGGAUUUUGUAUGUACCAUAUGAAUAAGGAUCGGCUAACUCCGUGCCAGCAGCCGAGGUAAUACGGAGGAUCCGAGCGUUAUCCGGAUUUAUUGGGUUUAAAGGGAGCGUAGGUGGAUUGUUAAGUCAGUUGUGAACGUUUGGGGCUCAACCGUAAAACUGCAGUUGAAACUGGCAGUCUUGAGUACAGUAGAGGUGGGCGGAAUUCGUGGUGUAGCGGUGAAAUGCUUAGAUAUCACGAAGAACUCCGAUUGCGAAGGCAGCUCACUGGACUGCAACUGACACUGAGGCUCGAAAGUGUGGGUAUCAAACAGGAUUAGAUACCCCAGUAGUC
rnacentral:rRNA from 1 species